AUGACAACACAGUAUCCACCCUUCCAUGUUUGCUAAGCAAAUACGAAGUUCACAUGGUGGUGCGAGCCCAGAUUUCAGGGUGAGAACUCUUAAGUUCCAGUUUUCGGAGAUGGAGAUGAGAGUAAGAGAUAGGCAGAUGUGAUAAGAAAGGGAUAUAUCAGACAUCUGCAAAACAAACUGCUUUUUCAUUGCAUUGAAAAUUUUUUUGCACUAAUGUGUUUUAAAGCCUUUCAUUGCAUUUGUAAAAGGAUAUAAACACAGCCCCAAUGAUGCGACAAUCUUUAAGAAAAGGUGUCUAUUCUUGGUUUGAAGGACUUCAGAAGUGUGCUUCUUAACUUUAUUAAAGCAAGAUUUUGCACAUUUAUGCUUUGAAGAAAACGACUAGAUUAUGGAGCUCAUGAAGAUCAGAAGUCCGGCGUUUGCAGAGUUCAGACCGAUUGGGAGGAUACGCAUUCCAAGAAAUUACCUUAAGAUUUGUUUCACCAUUAAAGUGACAUUCUCAGCUGUGCUCCAAUCAACUGGAUAAAAGCGGAAAACCCAUCAGAAGUUGUUCCUGUUGACUAUCACCUUUCAAAUGCCAGCAACUUGCCUUUCCAGAUGCACGGUGGUGCUGCUUCCAGAAGGGCUCCCCACUGCCCACAGAAUUGAUGCCAGAGGCCAGCGUCUGCCAUUUGAGAAGCAUUUAAUCUGGGAGGACCAACCUUUCUAGACCCCAAUCCUGUAUCCCCAAGCCCCUCCCCAACACCAUAUGCUCAAGCCAUGCCGGACUUGUAGUUUCCUGAUUUUGUAGCCUUUCCCGUCCAUACCUCCAGCCUUCACGUGACCACAGCCCUAACUGACGUCUUGACUGCAACUUCAUGAGGGGCCGUGGGCCAGAAUCACCCAGCUAAGGCGCUCCUGGAUUCCCGACCCACAGCGCUGUGAUAAAUAAAUAGCUGUUGUUUUAA